rnacentral:rRNA from 1 species
UGGGGAAUAUUGGACAAUGGGCGAAAGCCUGAUCCAGCCAUGCCGCGUGAGUGACGAAGGCCUUAGGGUUGUAAAACUCUUUCGUCGGGGACGAUAAUGACGGUACCCGAAGAAGAAGCUCCGGCUAACUUCGUGCCAGCAGCCGCGGUAAUACGAAGGGAGCUAGCGUUGUUCGGAAUCACUGGGCGUAAAGCGCACGUAGGCGGAUAGUUAAGUCAGGGGUGAAAUCCUGGGGCUCAACCCCAGAACUGCCUUUGAUACUGGCUGUCUCGAGGUCGAGAGAGGUUGGUGGAAUUCCUAGUGUAGAGGUGAAAUUCGUAGAUAUCAGGAGGAACACCGGUGGCGAAAGCGGCUCACUGGACCGUAACUGACGCUGAGGUGCGAAAGCUAGGGGAGCAAACGGGAUUAGAUACCCAAGUAGUCCCUGAGCGGGCUGGCAAGGCGCAU